UUGCUCUCUGAUUCAGCGGCGGACGGGUGAGUAAUGCCUAGGAAUCUGCCUGGUAGUGGGGGACAACGUCUCGAAAGGGACGCUAAUACCGCAUACGUCCUACGGGAGAAAGCAGGGGACCUUCGGGCCUUGCGCUAUCAGAUGAGCCUAGGUCGGAUUAGCUAGUUGGUGAGGUAAUGGCUCACCAAGGCGACGAUCCGUAACUGGUCUGAGAGGAUGAUCAGUCACACUGGAACUGAGACACGGUCCAGACUCCUACGGGAGGCAGCAGUGGGGAAUAUUGGACAAUGGGCGAAAGCCUGAUCCAGCCAUGCCGCGUGUGUGAAGAAGGUCUUCGGAUUGUAAAGCACUUUAAGUUGGGAGGAAGGGUUGUAGAUUAAUACUUUGCAAUUUUGACGUUACCGACAGAAUAAGCACCGGCUAACUCUGUGCCAGCAGCCGCGGUAAUACAGAGGGUGCAAGCGUUAAUCGGAAUUACUGGGCGUAAAGCGCGCGUAGGUGGUUUGUUAAGUUGGAUGUGAAAGCCCCGGGCUCAACCUGGGAACUGCAUUCAAAACUGACAAGCUAGAGU
rnacentral:rRNA from 1 species